rnacentral:rRNA from 1 species
UACGUAGGGUGCAGGCGUUAAUCGGAAUUACUGGGCGUAACGCGUGCGCAGGCGGUCUUUUAAGUCAGAUGUGAAAUCCCCGGGCUUAACCUGGGAACUGCGUCUGAAACUGGAAGGCUUGAGUGUGGCAGAGGGGGGUGGAAUUCCACGUGUAGCAGUGAAAUGCGUAGAGAUGUGGAGGAACACCGAUGGCGAAGGCAGCCCCCUGGGCUAACACUGACGCUCAUGCACGAAAGCGUGGGGAGCAAACAGG